GAUGAACGCUAGCGAUAGGCCUAACACAUGCAAGUCGAGGGGCAUCACAUGAAGUAGCAAUACGGAUGGUGGCGACCGGCGCACGGGUGAGUAACACGUAUGCAACCUGCCUUCAACAAGGGGGAUAACCCGUUGAAAGACGGACUAAUACCCUAUAACACAGGGGUCCCGCAUGGGAAUAUUUGUUAAAGGACAACCGGUUGAAGAUGGGCAUGCGUUCCAUUAGCUAGUUGGCGGGGUAACGGCCCACCAAGGCAACGAUGGAUAGGGGAACUGAGAGGUUUAUCCCCCACACUGGUACUGAGACACGGACCAGACUCCUACGGGAGGCAGCAGUGAGGAAUAUUGGUCAAUGGACGCAAGUCUGAACCAGCCACGUCGCGUGAAGG
rnacentral:rRNA from 1 species